rnacentral:rRNA from 1 species
ACACAUGCAGUCGAGCGGUAGCACAGAGAGCUUGCUCUCGGGUGACGAGCGGCGGACGGGUGAGUAAUGUCUGGGAAACUGCCUGAUGGAGGGGGAUAACUACUGGAAACGGUAGCUAAUACCGCAUAACGUCGCAAGACCAAAGUGGGGGACCUUCGGGCCUCAUGCCAUCAGAUGUGCCCAGAUGGGAUUAGCUAGUAGGUGGGGUAAUGGCUCACCUAGGCGACGAUCCCUAGCUGGUCUGAGAGGAUGACCAGCCACACUGGAACUGAGACACGGUCCAGACUCCUACGGGAGGCAGCAGUGGGGAAUAUUGCACAAUGGGCGCAAGCCUGAUGCAGCCAUGCCGCGUGUAUGAAGAAGGCCUUCGGGUUGUAAAGUACUUUCAGCGAGGAGGAAGGCGUUAAGGUUAAUAACCUUGGCGAUUGACGUUACUCGCAGAAGAAGCACCGGCUAACUCCGUGCCAGCAGCCGCGGUAAUACGGAGGGUGCAAGCGUUAAUCGGAAUUACUGGGCGUAAAGCGCACGCAGGCGGUUUGUUAAGUCAGAUGUGAAAUCCCCGGGCUCAACCUGGGAACUGCAUUUGAAACUGGCAAGCUUGAGUCUUGUAGAGGGGGGUAGAAUUCCAGGUGUAGCGGUGAAAUGCGUAGAGAUCUGGAGGAAUACCGGUGGCGAAGGCGGCCCCCUGGANCAAGACUGACGCUCANGUGCGAAAGCGUGGGGAGNCAACAGGAUUAGAUACCCUGGUAGUCCCACGCUGUAACGAUGUCGACUUGGAAGGUGUUCCCUUUGAGAGUGGCUUCCCGGAGCUACGCGGUUAAGUCGACCGCCUGGGGAGUACGGCCGCAAGGUUAAAACUCAAAUGAAUUGACGGGGGCCCGCACAAGCGGUGGAGCAUGUGGUUUAAUUCGAUGCAACGCGAAGAACCUUACCUACUCUUGACAUCCAGAGAACUUAGCAGAGAUGCUUUGGUGCCUUCGGGAACUCUGAGACAGGUGCUGCAUGGCUGUCGUCAGCUCGUGUUGUGAAAUGUUGGGUUAAGUCCCGCAACGAGCGCAACCCUUAUCCUUUGUUGCCAGCGAUUCGGUCGGGAACUCAAAGGAGACUGCCAGUGAUAAACUGGAGGAAGGUGGGGAUGACGUCAAGUCAUCAUGGCCCUUACGAGUAGGGCUACACACGUGCUACAAUGGCAUAUACAAAGAGAAGCGACCUCGCGAGAGCAAGCGGACCUCAUAAAGUAUGUCGUAGUCCGGAUUGGAGUCUGCAACUCGACUCCAUGAAGUCGGAAUCGCUAGUAAUCGUAGAUCAGAAUGCUACGGUGAAUACGUUCCCGGGCCUUGUACACACCGCCCGUCACACCAUGGGAGUGGGUUGCAAAAGAAGUAGGUAGCUUAACCUUCGGGAGGGCGCUUACCACUUUUGAUUCAUGACUGGGGU